AGUGAACGCUGGCGGUAGGCCUAACACAUGCAAGUCGAACGGCAGCACAGUAAGAGCUUGCUCUUACGGGUGGCGAGUGGCGGACGGGUGAGGAAUACAUCGGAAUCUACUUUUUCGUGGGGGAUCACGUAGGGAAACUUACGAUAAUACCGCAUACGCCCUACGGGUGAAAGCAGGGGAUCUUCGGACCUUGUGCGAUUGAAUGAGCCGAUGUCGGAUUAGCUAGUUGGCGGGGUAAAGGCCCAGCAAGGCGACGAUCCGUAGCUGGUCUGAGAGGAUGAUCAGCCACACUGGGACUGAGACACGGUCCAGACUCCUACGGGAGGCAGCAGUGGGGAAUAUUGGACAAUGGGCGCAAGCCUGAUCCAGCCAUACCGCGUGGGUGAAGAAGGCCUUCGGGUUGUAAAGCCCUUUUGUUGGGAAAGAAAAGCAGCAGGUUAAUACCCCGCUGUUCUGACGGUACCCAAAGAAUAAGCACCGGCUAACUUCGUG
rnacentral:rRNA from 1 species